GCUGAUCUUCAGAGAUAUCUGUGACCUGCGCUCCUUGGUCCUCAGAGCUUUAAUAGCAGCAGCUGUCUUACAGACGGGAUCAAGUAGAGGCUGUUGCUCCGGGGCGGGGCUGUGACACCGGCAGCAUGGUGGCGUACUCACUCCAGGACCUUCUACUCAGCAGAAAAUGUUUUCCAUUCCUGGGCCAAUGAAUGCCACCUUUGUCCCUUCAUCCUCCGUCUUGUGUGAGAAAACCCCCCUCACUGCACUCACCAAGCCUGCACAAACUUAACCUCUUUCCCCCUCCACCUCGCACAGGAAAAGAAACAUGCCGGCUCUGGAGCUUUGAUUCCAUCUUAGUAAUCUGGAGGUCUGGCUAAAGCCUUGGAAUAGAGGCCACUUUGGACAGACAGUUUUAAGUACCUUAGGGAGGAAAAAGGGUGAAAUGUGAUUGGAGCAAUUGUUAGGAUACUCUGGAUCAAAACAACAAAUAUAGGAUAAAGGCUGCUAUAUAAGAACAUAGAAAGAGCUGGAAAAAGAUGUUGGUUAUAGCUGCUUCGUCAAAGUUAAUUGUGUAGAGGUAGUUCAUACAAAAAAAGUGUGGUAAUUAACAGGGUAGGAGAUAUCUAUUAGUUCAAGGCUAAUUUAAAGCCCUGGGAAACAUUACUUAUCCUCAUUAUCAGCCUGUCCUCACCACAUUACCAAUUACCCUGCCAUUUUCACUGGAUUGGGGCAUGCUUAUUUUCCUGAAUCACUCAAAACCUUCCAAGCCCCGAAACACAUUUUACUCAUGCUACCACACACCACUCUUGUUCGGAUAUUACCCUAGAAACAAAGGACGUAAAACGCCUUAAUUUAAUCCAUUUCCAGUUUCUGUUAAACUCAAAGCCUCCUACACCGCCUGCAUGGCAAUAAUAUGACAUUAGGAAGAGGUAUUAAAUAGGUAUAGCACAUUGUGAAAUAAAGCUCCUUAUUAGAAACUGUUGAAACCUUGUAGAGAUUUAAUGCAUCGUUUAAUGCAUCUCUCAAAUGAAAGGAUAAGGGCCAUUAUUCCUGUGCCACCCAGGGUGUAAGGAAUUCCAUCUCUUCUCUAAAUUGAGUCUUACCCACAUUGCGACACACACACAAACACACACACACACACACACACACACACACACACAGAGGGCAUAACACUGAAUUAUAAUACAUUCAUUUCCUGGAGACUCAUCUUAACCAUCCAAUCCAGUAUCAUAGGAUGUCUUGUCAUAUCUGUUGCUCGUCUGUCUGUCAUAAUAUUGCCAAACAUUCCCAAAGUGGUAGCAGUAACACCCUGGGAUGUUGUAGUGAGCAGUUUUUUCUUAAUGUUGCAUAUUUUAAUAAGGUUUCACUAUAUUUAAAAAAUAAGAGAUAAUCAGUUUUUUAAUACUCAUUAAAAGAUAUCUAAGUUGAAACAGUUUUUUUUUCUUUCAUUGGAAUAUUCUUUCUCUCUGUGGUGGCCAAAAUCAAUCACAAUCUUUGGUCUGUACAAAAACCGCCAGCUUACGUUUAACUGAGGCUUGAUCAGAUUUAUCUGGUGGCUAUAAUCAAAACUGACAAUCCUUUUAAUUUGAAAUUCCUUUUUUGUGUUUCUCUGGGGUUUGUGUCCUUAUCAAGUUACACUGUUGGAAUAGUAAUGCAAAGUGAGGAUUUUAUUUAAUUCAGCCUCUUGUAAGCUUAUUGGCCGCAUCACAUUAAGAAGAGAUGAUUAAAAGUCCAGUAUUGGUAGGAUGUUUGAUUACAGCAUUAUUCAGUCAGACUUGAACAAAUCAGAGCCUGUCUUUUAAAUCUGUAACUUUAACUGUUCAGCUUGAGCUCUAACUUUUAAUAAUAAUAAGCAUACUUUUUGACAAAGCUUAUUAUGACACUGUACUCUCCCUGAUGUACUGACCGUUUCUUCUUCACUUACAUAUUUUCACUCACUGUUAUUAUUAAACUCUGGCUC